GAAAUACAAUAUUAAAUCACUGCAAAUGAAAAGAGAGUCUCAAGAAAAAGGUAUAUUUUUAUUAAAUAAAUGCAAAUAAUCUUUAGUAUUUGACGAGUUUGCUCUUUUUUAAAUCCUGAAGCUGGACACUGGAAAUUGAUCCUUCAGUUAAUGUUUAGUUCAAACAAGCACACACGCAUACUUUGGCCUGUUUUAAGUUGGUUUGUUGUUCAAGGUCUGCCUGAAUGUACACUCUUACGCAACACUGUGAACACUGCGAUUCAUUCGUAACAUUGGAAAUGUCGACUUGUGUAUUUCACAAAACAACAUCCUCUGUGGAAAUUCUGAUAAACUGGACACACAGCUGCAGAGGGAGAGGUCAACGUGGACACUUCAGCCUGUCAGAACGGAGGAGCGUGUGGCUCGCUGUACGAAAACAGGGCCUGGCCUAAUGUUGCAUGAAGACCGUGGUGAAUUCAUAUUGAUGGGAAAGCAGCCUCUGAAGCCCAGCAGCCAUGAUUUUUUCAUAAGCCACCGGGAACAAGAAGUCAGUCAGCUGACAGCAGAACGAGCGCGUGCUGGGGAGAGCGACCGGUGCUGCAGGCGCUGUUGGGCUCCAGGGAUCCACUUGAGAUUGCUGGCAGAGGGACUGAUAAGGCAGCGAACCAUUCAUCAGGCCAAAUGAAGGCAGUAAAGUUGACUGGAGGAAGCCGGGCAUCGCCCCGGGACGGCGGCUGGGCCUCUCAGCGGAGACCUGUGACUAACACGUGUGAGCAGGCGCUCGCAUACACACAAAUAGCUGAAGAAUGGGGAAAGACGGUGGGACGAAAUGACCGGGAGGAGGCGUUGCGUUCAGGAGAUGGAGGGUGGGGGGGAGGGGGAGUAAAUCGGACCUCCAGGAGCAAAGGCCCCCCCCCCCCCCCCGUCUCCUCAGAGCUACACCGGGCGACUGAGGCUUCUGUCUGUGGUAACACGUGGGGGCCCGCUCCACUCCGAAAACAUCCAUCAGACAGAUAUUACUGUAAUCCAGAGGUGAUACAUUAGCUGGGAUGCCAGGGGGACACUGUGUGCCGGUGAUGGAUACCUCCAGGGCUCCCUGCUGUUGUCACGGCGGCCUCUCAGGGAGCGAGAACUGCUGCAGCUCGGCCUCAGACUGGCUAACACUUUCCCUGCUUUAUGUCACUGCUUAAAUUUAUCCCAAAGUAAGGCUGUUUGUAUUUUAUUCUUAAUCACACCACCCAGAGGAUGGAGACAUAUUUCCAC